rnacentral:rRNA from 1 species
UACGAAGGGGGCAAGCGUUGUUCGGAAUUACUGGGCGUAAAGGGCGCGUAGGCGGGCUAUCAAGUCCGGGGUGAAAUCCUCCCGCUCAACGGGAGAACGGCCUCGGAUACUGAUGGCCUCGAGGGGGAUAGGGGCACACGGAACUGUGGGUGGAGCGGUGAAAUGCGUUGAUAUCCAUAGGAACUCCGGUGGCGAAAGCGGUGUGCUGGAUCCCUUCUGACGCUGAGGCGCGAAAGCCAGGGGAGCGAACGGG